AGGUUUUGCAGAUUCCAUUCGCCUACUUUUAUUUCUAGAUGCAUAUAGAGGACGACAAGACAAAGAAGGU
rnacentral:sRNA from 1 species